UGUCUAAGUACAAGCCUCAUUAAGGUGAAACCGCGAAUGGCUCAUUAAAUCACACCUAAUAUACUGGAUAGUAUCAGUUACUUGGAUAACUGCGGUAAUUCUGGAGCUAAUACAUGCGUUGAGCCCCGAACUUACGUGAGGGGCGCUUUUAUUAGAUCAAAACCAAACGGCCUCGGUCGUACCUCUGGUGAUUCUGAAUAACUUUGGGCUGAUCGCACGGCUUCACGCCGGCGACGUAUCUUUCUAAGGUGUGCCCUAUCAACUGUCGACUGUGGCAUAGACGCCCACAGUGGUUUUGACGGGUAACGGGGAAUCAGGGUUCGAUUCCGGAGAGGGAGCCUGAGAGACGGCUACCACUUCUAAGGAAGGCAGCAGGCACGCAAAUUACCCACUGGUCGAAGACCGAGGUAGUGACGAAAAAUAACGAUACCGGACUCAUCCGAGGCCCGGUAAUCGGAAUGAGUACACUUUAAAUCCUUUAACGAGGAACAAUUGGAGGGCAAGUCUGGU
rnacentral:rRNA from 1 species